GAACUCUGUGAGUCUCUGUCUCCACCAUGAGGAACAGAGGCCCAACCCAAGGAGCCUCCAGGGCAGGGGUGACCUCUAAGGACUCAGCCCCAACAAAGAGCCAUUCCUGAGCACUCGGGUGGGAGCCGAGAACUGCCUGCUGGGAUCUGCAGGCAGGUAUUUGAAUGUUAUCAUCGUAUGACUCACUGAGAGAUAGCCACCUGGUUUUAUAGAGUAAAGAGAUAAGGGCCAUUGCCUGUGAGGAAGGAGACUGGAAUCCAUCUACCUCUGCCUAGACGGAGCCUGAGGAGUAGGCCAAGGGCCAAACACUAUACUUGGUAAACCAACCUCCCCUGGCAGCAGUGGGGGCAGUGGGGACAUCCACACUGACUGACAGGAAUGGGGAAGAGGGUCUCGGCAGGGCUACUUCUAGGCCUUUCCUCCUGGGCAGAACCCCUGGUUUCUCCCCAGAGAGAAGCUUGGACUUCCAGCUCUCCUGUUCUUGAAGUUGGCUCCAACUGUAUUUUUCCAGACGCCACCAAUAAAGU